rnacentral:rRNA from 1 species
UACGUAGGGGGCUAGCGUUGUCCGGAAUCAUUGGGCGUAAAGCGCGUGUAGGCGGUCCGGUAAGUCCGCUGUGAAAGUCGGGGGCUCAACCUCGAAUGCCGGUGGAUACUGUCGGGCUAGAGUGCGGAAGAGGCGAGUGGAAUUCCUGGUGUAGCGGUGAAAUGCGCAGAUAUCAGGAGGAACACCAAUUGCGAAGGCAGCUCGCUGGGACGUUACUGACGCUGAGACGCGAAAGCGUGGGGAGCAAACAGG